rnacentral:tRNA from 1 species
GCGCCGAUCCGUGCCUACUCGGUGGCGCACAAAUGCCGAUGCACGACGUUUCCUAAACCGGGUGUCGCAGGUUCGAAUCCUGCUCGGCGCG